ACACCCGUGACCAGCACCUGCCAGAGACCAAGGCACCUUGGAAAGCCUCCACCAUGAGCUGGACUGCCCUCCUCCUCCUCCUCGCUCUCUGCCCAGGGUCCAGGUCUCAGGCUGUGGUCACUCAGAAGCCCUCAGAGAGCGUGGUCCCUGGCGUGACAGUCACUCUCACCUGCAGCACUAACACUGGAGAGGUCACCAGCGGUCACUACCCGUACUGGAUCCAGCAGAAGCCGGGCCAGGUCCCCAGGACACUCAUUUAUGACACAAGCAAUAAACUCUCCUGGACGCCGGCCCGGUUCUCAGGCUCCAUCCAAGGGGGCAAAGCUGCCCUGACCCUCUCAGGGGCGCAGCCUGAGGACGAGGCCGAGUACUACUGUGCCCUGUGGUACAGCAGCCGUCCCCACAGUGACAGGCGCGGGUGGGGAAGUUGGACAAAUACACAGGGCUCAGUGCUGCCUCUGCUUCUGGGGCCCCGUCUGCUGUUCACGGGGCUGCAUCCCGCUGGGGUGGCUCUGAGGGCUGUUCUCUGAGGCCCCAGACCAGGC